UGUAACAACAAUCUUAUCUUCCAUGCCAGUGUUGACGUGCGCCGCCAGGUGGUUUAGCGCGAUGCUGUACCUGACAAGCCUCGGUGCCAAGACCUCCGGAAAACUGAAUCGGGGCUCCAAGAAGAUUCACGCCAGUACUUCUGACAGUAGAUGUGCCUGCUUUCUAUAGGCCGGGCUCAGGAAGCAGCCCAGAUGGUGACGUCAGGACAAAGUGGGAUUCCAAGGAUUCUUGUGAGAAAAAAAAAAAAAAAAAAAAAACUUUCCCAGACUUGUUCAUUAGCAGGACUGAUUUACAAGCUCCAAACUAUAAACCCCAUAAUGUCCUUGAGGGAAGGGUUAAAGGUCGACGAUAAUUUGGCCCUGAUGAAGGAACUGGAGGAUCGCCUGAAAAAACAGAUUGAUAAACUGGAGCACCUCCGUCUUUCUGCCUCAGAGGUGAAAGACAACAUCACAUCUGCUCUGUCUCCCAGCAGUGAAUCUGGGUUUGAUUUUAUUCAGCAGAACAAUGCAGACCUGAAGCUGUCAAUCGCAGACCAUCUGGAGUGGCUGGCCAGGCUAAACGAGAGAAUGGAGACCCUCCAAAUGAACACCGCUGUCUUCAUCCAGCGUACUCAUCUGCGACCCUUUCCCAAAUAACAUAUUAGAAGGUCAAUGUCAUACAGCGACAGCGAGGAGCGACAGCGUGGGAGAAGUACAGUCGUGGAAAAAUACACAGCAGUUUAGAAGCAAUGAACACCAAGCCCCGGAGCUGGAAGACCAAGCAGACCUCCAAGCGUUACAACCGCUGGCCAAAGCCUCUCCUUGGUGAUGAUGUGCAGUCUGAAUUGGGCUGGUCUCCGGUCCGCACGCGCAGGAACAGUGACGCGGCCUCCGAGAUGUCCUGUGCCUGGUAGCGACCUCUUACCAUCCUGAAUCGUACAGGAGCCAAUUUCUGAACGGCCCCUAUUAAACAGCUUUGUUCAGCUACCCCUACAGAAAAUGUAGCAGUUCAUGUCAACUAAAAUAUUUCUAAAUUUCUAAAAAUAUAUAUAUAUUAAAAUUUGGA